UUUAGGCCAUUGCAAUACUGUAGCGGAGGCUACAAAAAUCCACUUAUUCCAACUUCUGAGGAAAGUUGGAACAUUUUAGGGUAGAAGGCAGUAGCGAGCAUUUAGCGAUUCGAAGGCGAUUCAGUUUCAAAGGGCAAAUCAGUGCGAUACAGUCCUUCUACGACCAUAAACGUCAUCGAUCAGUCCCUGAUUUCAUCUUCCCUUCAAAGAACAACCGAGUUACCUAGCAAAGUAGUACCUGAAGCCAAGGGAAAAACAUUAGAAGAAAUUUAGCAUCAACUGCUUUUUUGGAGUGGAAUGCACUUGUGCUUCUAUAUUGAAGUCUUCCAACGCUAACGAUGAUGUUGUUGACAAAUAUUGGAAAUGAGUGGACAUUUGUUUCCUUCAGUAAUGCUGGACUUGGAAAAGAUCGGACAACUUUGAAAUUCUUUCAGUUUGCCUUUUGUAAUAAAUAGUUAAUUCAAGAUCUAUGUAUAGAGAGAUGGGACUACUUUGCGUACAUUUUUAAUAUUGGUUGGAUUGUUAAUUAUAGACAAUUUGUAUAUUCAAGUAUGAAAUGAAUUUGAAUUGGUAGAUGGUUUAUUAUACACA